CCUGGCUGCACUUCUCUUAGGCCCCAUUUAAGGGCUGACUGCCAGUAGGGAAGGAUCUCUUCCUCUGUGAACCUGGAAUCUUCUGAUACAGGAGCGCAAGUCACAUAUAUUUCAGUAUAGCUCCUCAUAUGCACAUUUAAAUCAGAGGAAGCAUGACUUAUUUUUAAUCAGGGGAAAGACUGAAACAAUUCCACUUAGAAGGAGGUUACAAACAGGCUGAGUAUUGCAGCUGGCUGGAAAAAGCUCUGCAGGGCUAAGGUGAAUACAAGUUCACACAGAACAGACAUCGCAAGGCUUGUGGUUGACGUUUCUGCUCCAAUCCUUUUCUAAAACUGGUGGUCUGU